rnacentral:rRNA from 1 species
GACGGAGGAUGCAAGCGUUAUCCGGAAUGAUUGGGCGUAAAGCGUCCGCAGGUGGCAGUUCAAGUCUGCUGUCAAAGACCGGGGCUUAACUUCGGAAAGGCAGUGGAAACUGAACAGCUAGAGUAUGGUAGGGGCAGAGGGAAUUCCUGGUGUAGCGGUGAAAUGCGUAGAUAUCAGGAAGAAUAUCGGUGGCGAAGGCGCUCUGCUGGACCAUAACUGACACUCAGGGACGAAAGCUAGGGGAGCGAAUGGG